rnacentral:rRNA from 1 species
GGAAUAUUGGACAAUGGACGCAAGUCUGAUCCAGCCAUGCCGCGUGAAGGAUGAAUGCCCUCUGGGUUGUAAACUUCUUUUAUAGGGGAAGAAAGUUAUCUUUUUUAGGAUAUUUGACGGUACCCUGUGAAUAAGCACCGGCUAACUCCGUGCCAGCAGCCGCGGUAAUACGGAGGGUGCAAGCGUUAUCCGGAUUCACUGGGUUUAAAGGGUGCGUAGGCGGGUAUGUAAGUCAGUGGUGAAAUACCGGAGCUUAACUUCGGAACUGCCAUUGAUACUAUAUAUCUUGAAUAUUGUGGAGGUAAGCGGAAUAUGUCAUGUAGCGGUGAAAUGCUUAGAGAUGACAUAGAACACCGAUUGCGAAGGCAGCUUGCUACGCAAAUAUUGACGCUGAGGCACGAAAGCGUGGGGAUCAAACA